ACCAGGCGGAUGGCGCCUACAAUGUCAAUUAUAAAUAAUAGAUCCAUUAUCACUCAUCUUAAUGGGAGGCUAUGAUCUAGUUAUCACCAUAACCAGCUCAUAUUAGGGACCUAAUAAUUUACAUGAUUUAAUCAAUUUAGAGAAGUGAGAAGAGAAGAUCAAUCAGUAGACCAUAAUUUUCCCACUAACUUCACCAAGUCAUUGAAUAGGGUUAGGUCAUGCUGAUUGAACUG
rnacentral:lncRNA from 1 species